GCAAUGGUGGUUCGGUGGUAGAAUUCUCACCUUCCACAAGGGAGAUGAGGGUUCGAUUCCCUGCCAAUUCA
rnacentral:tRNA from 1 species